rnacentral:rRNA from 1 species
GACGAACGCUGGCGGCGUGCUUAACACAUGCAAGUCGAACGGAAAGGCCCUGCUUUUGUGGGGUGCUCGAGUGGCGAACGGGUGAGUAGCACGUGAGUAACCUGCCCUUGACUUUGGGAUAACUUCAGGAAACUGGGGCUAAUACCGGAUAGGAGCUCCUGCUGCAUGGUGGGGGUUGGAAAGUUUCGGCGGUUGGGGAUGGACUCGCGGCUUAUCAGCUUGUUGGUGGGGUAGUGGCUUACCAAGGCUUUGACGGGUAGCCGGCCUGAGAGGGUGACCGGCCACAUUGGGACUGAGAUACGGCCCAGACUCCUACGGGAGGCAGCAGUGGGGAAUAUUGCACAAUGGGCGGAAGCCUGAUGCAGCAACGCCGCGUGCGGGAUGACGGCCUUCGGGUUGUAAACCGCUUUCGCCUGUGGCGAAGCGUGAGUGACGGUAAUGGGUAAAGAAGCACCGGCUAACUACGUG